GGAGACUCAGCAUUGCUACAGCUUGUUGCUAUUUAAGUGUGCUGUAGCAAAAGGAUUUAAUCAGGUGUGUCCUUAAAUAUUGCCUAUUAGUGUUUCCUCUUAUAUUAAGAUCUGAAUGUUUUCUAAGAAUUACAAUUUCCCAGCAGUUACGCAAAUGAGGUUAAAUCAUCACUUGCAACUGUGUAUAAAAAGCUCCGCUGUCAGUACUGCAUUACCACAAUCAUCCACAUCUCUGAGACAGUCUGCUGAAGUUGUGAAGACCUGACGGUAACAUUUCUCAUCAAUCUCUUAUUGCUUCUGUGUUUUCAGUGUAAUGUUGGUGGAAUGGUGAUUUUGCAGAUGGUUUUGACCACAUCUCAUCAGAAUUAUUGUUAACAGGUGAAAUAACUGAAACCAUGAUCAAGGUUGUGUUUCUGCUUGGAUGCCUGCUGAGCCUUGCUCUGGCAAAUCCUGUAAGUGUAAUAUGACUGUAGACUGUACUAGUGAUGUCAUCUGUAAUAUAUGAAUAUAUCUUGCACUGUGUGUGUAACUGUGUAACCAGAGGCUGUAUCAGUGCUCCUAUCUUGUCAUAUCCAAACAACACAUUUGCAUGUUUGUUUUUAAACAGAAUGACUCAGCACACGAGCGCGAUGCACGUUCUUCAUCUGGGGAGGGGAGUUUUGGGACCCUAAAUCGUCUUACCCUGCUACUACCUCUUCUACAGAAUCCAACACUUCUGCAGAAUUCAACGCUCCUUGCUUUGCUUCUUGCCGCUCUACGAUAAGCUGCUCCUUAACCAACAGCUACAACUGCCACAAAGGAUGAAUUGAAAACGAACAAACAAUGAAUAAAAACUUUUGUUAAAUUGCACUGGGAUUUUUUUAUUUAUUUACAGGAUUAUUGAAAAUCCCCGCUUAAUUUUGAGUGACUCAGUCUUACAAAGAGUUAGCAAAAAGAUUACUCUAGACAAUAUAAACGAAAUCUCCUCGUUCAUUGCAGUUUCUCCCAAAUCAACCAGAUCAUUCACCCGAGUAUGCAUUAUCAUAGAAUAUGUAGCUGUGGCAGGGGUGUUGUCUCUGGCCUGCUGAAGGGGAGGGGGAGCAAAGUGAGCUGUCAGGGUGGUGGCGAGGUAUGCUGGAAGGCAGGUGCAUGUGCUCAGGCUAAUGAUCAUUUCCCCUGUCUGUGUAUUUAGUGACGCCAGAGUCAGAGGAGUGAGAGGCUGUUGUUGCAGCAGCUAAUGGGUGCCUGUUUCCUGAGUACCCAGUACCAAAACAACAGAAUCAGCUGCUGAGUGUUAAAUAAAGCCUCACUUGAGCACAGAAAGACUGCGUGUUGGGUCUGUUCUUCACAG
rnacentral:lncRNA from 1 species